GGCUGUGGAUCUGGAGGCCAUGUUGUAAUACACGAGAACCCCAUACUCACAGUGCUCUGGGCACCAGCAACUUGGCUGACACCUGGGUGCUUGUCAGAACUACCGACUCUCAGACUCUCCAGACUCACUGAAUUCUGAUGGUAUUAUGCUGAAGAUGUGCCAGGAAAAAGUAUCUAAAAUUCAUGUCUUAAAGCAGCUGGAAACCCAAAGAGACUUAAAACUGAAGCAUUUUCUGUUACAGUUUUGGUCCUGUCCAGAAUACCUCUCUCUCUCAUAACUGAAGAAACUGAAUGUCAGCCUAUCAUCGCAG